GCCGCCUCGGCCGCACCGCGUCGCCGACGACCAGGCGCAGCCUCAAGGCGGAGGCCAAGGGCGAGUGGCUCCCCGGCCUUCCCUCCCCCGCCUACCUCGACGGCAGGUCAGUGUUUCUUUUUCUCUAAUAAUAACUCUGGCCAUGGCCGCCGCAGCGACGGCCGGCAGCCUGACUGACUGGCCUGACUGACAUGGCCACCGCGCGCGCGCAGCCUGCCGGGUGACAAUGGCUUCGACCCGUUGGGCCUGGCGGAGGACCCCGAGAACCUGCGGUGGUUCGUGCAGGCGGAGCUGGUGAACGGGCGGUGGGCGAUGCUCGGCGUGGCCGGGAUGCUGAUCCCGGAGGUGCUGACCAAGGCCGGGCUCAUCAACGCGCCGCAGUGGUACGACGCCGGCAAGUCGGAGUACUUCGCGUCGUCGUCGACGCUGUUCGUGAUCGAGUUCAUCCUGUUCCACUACGUGGAGAUCCGGCGGUGGCAGGACAUCAAGAACCCCGGCAGCGUCAACCAGGACCCCAUCUUCAAGAGCUACAGCCUGCCGCCGCACGAGUGCGGCUACCCCGGCAGCGUCUUCAACCCGCUCAACUUCGCGCCCACGCUCGAGGCCAAGGAGAAGGAGCUCGCCAACGGUGAGCACCACUACCAUCGAUACCUCCGCACGGUCGCCGGCCACUUCCGAUGAUCCUUCCCUCUGACGACGACUAAUCAUAUGCAUCCGGUUAUUAAUUGUUAAUUCUGCGUGCAGGGAGGCUGGCGAUGCUGGCGUUCCUGGGCUUCCUGAUCCAGCACAACGUCACCGGCAAGGGGCCCUUCGACAACCUGCUGCAGCACCUGUCUGACCCAUGGCACAACACCAUCAUCCAGACCCUCUCUUAGUCGAUGAUAUAUAUCCAGGUCAUGUAAAAUGUGAUCCAUCGCUAGCGAGCUGAUGGGGACUGGAAGGCAAACAUUGAAGCGCGGUCGUCGAUGUUAAUUCCUUUCUGGAUCAGUUUGUGUGAUGUGUGUUGUUAAUCGAUCUGGAGGGUAUAGAUUCGGACCGGGUUUGUUGUAACUUGUAAUGCAUGGUAUGAAGAGAGAGAGGGCUGAGGAGUGACACUGCUGGUAUGUACAUUAAUCCAAGGGGAGGGCUAAGGGUAAGAUUGUUUGAUCAGUAUCCUCAUCGAUCUAUCCCGAUGGGGUUCCUCUUGUGCUUACUUCUUGCUUGCCACUUGCCAGUCCAUGGUUCAGUGUGGAAACACAUGCAUGUAUUUGUACGAGAACUAGUAGGCUUGUAUAAUUAAGCAAAUGGUAAACAUCGAUGCCCAUCGCGAUUAAUGUUCGUGAAAAAACAAAAAAAACUAAAAACUUGCGGUUAAUGUUUGCGAAAAAAACAAAAAAAACUAAAAACUUGCAACUCUAAAAAGUUGGACCUAGGACCUCUCACUUAACAGUAUCAUCCCUCUACCACUACACCACACAAUUAUUUGUGUAUAUAUAUAAUACACUAUUUUUUUUAUAUUAAUGUUUCGUAACCUUACAUUGGAUAUUUUGGCUACUAAAUAAACUCAAAUGAAAAAAAUUUUAACUAUAAAGUUUUAAAUCUUGUCGAGUACUACAACUUUGGUAUAUGAUGUAUCACCAUCAGAGAUAGUUUAAAAAAAAAUCAAAAAAUUGAGCCUUAAAACAUGUGAAUUUCAAACACAUAUUUGAGACUCUAGGUGAUUUUUAAAUAAAAAAUUUGUCAAUAUCAAACAUAUAGAUCAUGUGGACCACUAGAGCUUUGGUAUUAACUAUGUAAAUAUUGAAGAUCAUUUAGGAAUUCAAAAACUUAAAUUUUAAAAUCUAUAACGACCUUCGAACACAUGUUUGAGACUCUAAACAUAUUUUAAUUUAAAACUUUUCAACUACAAAGUUGUAGAUUCUAUCAAGAACUAUAACUUUUGUAAAGACCAUAUCAACAUCUUAGAUUGUUUGAUAAUUUUAAAUUUCAAAAUCUACACAUUUAAAAUAAUAUUUUUUGGACCCUAAAUAGUUUCAACUCAAACUAUUUUACGAGGCUAGGAUCCAUCGGCUCGUGAGAUGUUGCUCCGACCUCCGAGUAGCAACGACUGAAGAGCCGUCGCCGCCGCCCCUGCUUGCCGCUGCGCGCCCCCGCCCCCGUCCGGUCUCGCCCCCCCACGCCGAUCUGCUACUCCCAAGCCGGUGGCCGGAGUUCGCGCGGCCCUCGGCCUCACCCGGAUUCGGCGUCCGAGCCCUUCUUUACAUUCACCGCUUCGUGCCUCGUUCGCUGCCGCGACUCCUCGACUUCAACGCCCUCGCGAGUCGCGAAGCCGCGACGGCGCUGCAGGCGCCCGGUGAAUCUCCGACUUGACUCCGACGAGACCACGACGGCGACCUUCCCUUGUCUCCCCACUGGCUGCGGCCCCUCGCCCCCUCCUGCGGUGACUGUUGGCCGCCUGGCUGCCCAACCAGGUGAGAAGCGAGAUCCAAAUCUCCAUUCUUAUUUCUCCAUAGUCUAUACUCUCAGCAACAUUUGACAAUUCUUAACUCUUAAUUCAUAUCCAAUGUGUCUUAGGAUGGAAAGAUAUUAUGGUAAGAAAUAUGUUAUAUCCACUAGUUGAAUGCCCGUACGUUGCUACGGAAACAAAAAAAAAAUAUUUAGAAACAAAAUCAUGCCCAUGCCCACUCAUCUUAGUUUCAGCUUGGACAUAUGCACUUCCCUAUUGUCAAAUAGCUUGGAAAGUAAACUUUUGCUUACAUUCAACUGCCCUGAAUUAAUUUGCUUAGGAAAUCCGAAGUUUAGGUGCCACUAUUGCCUUUUCCAAUGUUUGUUUACCCAACAACAUUUGCAGGUAAGCAAAAUAUAGAAAUAUAAGUGUUUUGUGGCUUCACAUGUUUCACAUUACACAACCAAGACACCAGUGGAAAUAAACUUCACGGGUGCAGGGGGCUUUAAAAAAAUGUUAUCUGAACACACAUUGAAAUUAUAGAAAUGUAUUGCACAUAUGACACAGAUAUUGCGAAUGGCAAAGGCAAAUGCUUCCAUAUGCUUGUACCAUGGUCUCCCGGUGAGUCCUCGGUUGGUGAAUGUUAGUUCGGCUAUCAUCAACCUGUUGUUGAUCUCCCUUCCUUUCACUGUGUACUACCUUGUCUUUAGGCUCCAGUUUUUGCUUGCAGCAACUACAUACGAGAAAUGAGGUGUUGAAGUUUUAAUUUCAAAGUUACACAUCUGCACAUUGCACUUAUGCAGAACAGCAAGCACUGAGUAACAAUAAUAAAUUAAGACUAAAAUCAGAAAGAAAAAUGAAGCUUUAAUAUACAUGAUUUUGCAUCCAAUAUAAUUAGAUUUCUAUAGCAGGAGCAGGGAGAAGAGAGAUUCUUCACAUGUAAGGAUUCAUCCUCUACUCUGACACUUCACAUUUAUCAUGGUCAUGUAUGCUUGACAGCCACAAAUACAUAUAGGAUAAUACUAUGAUAGUACUAUUCUUCAGCAGAUGUUGAGAUAAAAUCACAAAGAGCAUCUAAACAGGCCUUGAAAUGUUUUCCUCAGUUGGACAGCACUCUAGAGGUUGAAAGCAUUAGACUUAGUGCGGAAUGACAUAGUAUUGAGUCAUCUACUCUUUGUGCUCUACCUGUUUAUUAUCUCGAAUUAAUCUUAAAACUAUUGCCUCAGGAAUCAUUUAAAAAAACAAAAAAGGGAAAUUAUCUUCGAUGAGAAAUUUCAGCACAUUGUCUGAACAUUUUGCAUCAAUGCAGGCCAUCACUAAAAUCCAUAAUCUAUUUAGUCAUUGCGGAUGGAAUUUUUGUAGCAUUUUUCAGUACUAUAUUAGGGAAAGCUUAACAUUGACAAUGUCAUGUUUGCAAUUUUUAGCUUAAUAUGGUUCUAGAUAAAAUAUCAGCCCCAAAUAAAACCAGGCAAUAUGCACCUGUGCACACAAUUGUCCUGAGCCCAUCGACCCACCAAAUAUUACCUCCUUUGAUAAUAGAUAACGGAGGAGGGGUACCUGUUCUGUGGCAAUGGCUAUCACGAGAUUCUCGAUUUGCUCCUGCUCAGCCUUGUGUGUCAAAAUCAUGUGUGCAACUGUACUGUACUUUAGCUACCCCAGCAUGAACAUGUGUGCCAAGGUAUGUUCAGAAAAUCUCUACUAAAAGGCAUGAUCAUGUGUGUCAACAUCAUCUCAAGGAAAUAGAAUAUUUCUAUAGUCCAUCAGACAUAUUAUCAUCCUUCUGUUCAACAACGCCAGCAUGAACAAGAGCAGUGGAGCUGUUUUUGCAAGACAGGUUAUCAGAAAAUCCUUAUCUUAGAUCCAAGAAGAACCUUUUUACCACCCAGGAGUGUGGAGUUCUCAUCAGUCAGAAAAUUCACAAGUCCAAGCCCAACCUUAUCGCCAAGUAAAAUUUCUGGUUCUGGCCGGCAUCAACAGAGGAUGCUCUGGGUGAUUUGGUGCCAAGGCCAGUGAAAAACUUGAGGUCUAGGGGUGAUGUACUGAUGUUGAAUAGCAAACAUGCAAGGAGACAAGGACGCUAUAUACAAUAGACAUACCACGUUAAAUUUUAGCCACAGCAAUAAGCUACUCUCCAGAGGAAUAUAUGCACAAGCCAAGAGAGCAAAUCAAAACACUGGACAUGGGGGAAUAAUUCUUGGACCUGCAUCUACUAACAGAAAAUAAUAGAUCUGAAUUUCUUACCUCUGAAUGAAACUAUAGUGAAACUAUAGUAGGGCUGCAUAUUUUUCUCAGACAUUACUGCUGCAUAUUUACAUGUGGAUGACCAUUUUCUUUGUGUUGCUGCAGUAUCAGGUAAGACAUAAGGUAGCUAAUAUGCAAUUAUGCACUUAUGCUAGUAAACUGGGGGUGUCUUGGCAGGAUUAUGCAGUUAUGCACUUAUGCUCUUCUGCAAUCCAACAACAUCAAUAAAAAUAGAGAUUUUUCUUAGGAAUUAGCAGUAGGCUUAUCCUAAAUUAGCAGGAGACUUAAGAAUAUUUAUGUUAGUGUGCGCAUGGACAGGCGGGUUUCGGUGAGCCAGCUGCAACCUCGCCUCUCGCCGGCGGCCGUGGAGGGCAUGCGCCGACCGUGGAGGACCUCGCCUCUCACCUCUCGCCGGUGACCCAGCUGCGACCUCGCCUCUCGUCGCCUCUCCUUGGUGGCGUUAGGCGCGUCUCCUCCUCGGCAGCUAGGUGGGAGGGGAGCGAGGGGAGUGCGUCCAGGCGGAGGUAUGCGCAGCUCCUCGACAGCUAGGUGGGAGGGGAGCGAGGGGAGUGCAUCCAGGCGGCACCGACGUUGCCGUUCGGCCGUAGGUAAGCGCACGACGGCGAAGUGGGCGGGGCCGUUGCUCGUCGUCCGGUAUUUUCCUGGCGCACGGCGCCCGUUGCACGGCGGCAAGGAGGGAGUGGCGUGAGUUUGAAGGCGAUAGGGAGGCUCGCUGGAUUGAGAGCGAGGGGAUUGAGAUCGGGGAUUGUGGGAGGGGAGGGAGUGCGGCGUUGUUGGGGCUUGCGGGAGCGAGGGAGUGCGGGAGAGAUGGAUGGGAUACUGAGGGGUGGGGAGGUGUCUAGAAGAGAGAGUGGGGCCCACAUGUCGGCGCAAAUUCACUCGGCUGAGUGAAGCAUCACGCGGCGGCUUCACCAUGGAGCCAUAGACGGGUCCGUUUCACGUUUUUUAGGUGUAGAGAUUAGUGUACUGUGUACAGUGAGCAAAAUUUUUUUGCCCUCUGUUAUUUAGCCCUCCCCUUGGUCCAUUUCUCGAUCCGCCACUGGAUGUUGGUACAGAUGGGUUGAACCCGCUUCCAUGGGCUGGAUCGGGGCGGGUUAUUUGCUUCAAAAUUUGGGUGGGGUUGGGUUAGGGGAACAACUUGAUAGCCUGAUGAUCGGGGUGGGUUAAGGGUGGAUUUAGCCCCAUUAGGCCUUAUUUGGAUGUAGUCGGAUUCGCAUCAAUCCACAUGUAUUGGGGUGGAUUGGAGUGGAACUUGAACUAAAUUCCACCCCAAUCCACUCCAACACAUGUGGAUUGAGGUGAAUCCAAUAACAUCCAAACAAGACCUUAACAGGGCGAGAUCCUGGUCUGGAUCCGAUGUUGGUCUGGCACCAAUACGGUGCUCCCGAACGAGGCCUUAAUUGGGCCGAAAGCAAGCCCCCCACCCCGAGGCCC
rnacentral:lncRNA from 1 species